rnacentral:lncRNA from 1 species
GGGAUGUAAAAUGAAUCGACACAAGGCAGCAGCAAUGAAGACUUUUUAAAGCAAAAGGCCAAACAACUUUCACUGACCACAACUCCGAACCAAUACAAAAACAAAAUGAUUGCCAAAUUCCAAAUAUAAGUUUUCUUUUUGUCGUCUUUUUUUUUUGUUUUGUUUUAUGGGUUUUAUGAACUGAGAAACGAUAUUACUCACGGGUAAAAGACACAAAGAGAGUGGAACACAAAUUUUACAACGCAAAUCAAGAGAGAACAAAAUCACCAAAGUUUUUUUUUUUUUUAAAGAGGGGAUUUUGGGUAGUAAGAACUGAAUAAAAAGAAGCAACAAAGGAGCAGAGAAGUUAAAAGGGAAAGUUAUGAACACUAAAAACAGACAGGAAACAAAACCAAAAGCAGCAAACUUUUCUUCUUUUUUCGGAGGGAUAUGCUAAAACGUGUAAUAUAAACACUGCAGUGGGAAAAUGGACAAUGUUAAAUAAGCUCCAAGAAGUGAAAGAGCCAAAAAGAAAGACGCUUUUUCUUUUUCUUUUUCUUUUUCUUUUUUCUUUCAAAAACAACGGAAGAAGAACAGACGAAAAUGUAAGUAGGAGUAAACUAAAAAGUAAAAAACAAAGGGAUGUAAAAGACGACUCAAACAAAAUUACAAUAAACUCAAGAAAAAGUUGAAAGAGCAAAAAGGAAAGACGCUUUUUUUUUUCUUUUUCAAAAUCAACUGAAGAACAGACGAAAGAGUAGCUGGGAGUAAAAACAAGAUUACAAGAGUGAAAUAAAAAACAACUCCGAACCAAAACAAAAUACGAUUGACAGAUUUAAUGCUACGAUCGGUUUCAAAAUAUAAGAAUUUUUUUUCUUUUUUUGGUGGGUUUUAUGGAUUGAGAAACAAUAAACUCACAGGUAAACGAAUCAAAGAAAGUGAAAGACAAAUUCUGCAACACAAAUCAAGAGAAAUACGACACCAAAGAUUGCAUUAAAAACUUAAUUUUAAGGGGGGAUUUUGGGUUGUAAGAACUAAGAACUGAAAACAGGAAGCAAUGGUGGAAGUGUGGAACGUUUAAGUUGAAAAGGAAAGUUCUGGAUACUCAAAACAGAAACGGGAAGCACAACACUCGACGGCAAACUUUCUUCUUUUU